rnacentral:ncRNA from 1 species
AGCGGGUAGGGACGCGAAGAUGUCGGACUGCGAGAAGCGGUCGCCCCCGGGACCUACACCCGGGCGGUCCGACGGAGCGAGUGGCGAGACCGGCCCUGUGGACA